rnacentral:rRNA from 1 species
UUUGAUCCCUGCUCAGGAUGAACGCUAGCGGCAGGCUUAACACAUGCAAGUCGAGGGGUAACAGGGUGCUUGCACCGGCGACGACCGGCGAACGGGUGGGUAACGAGUAUGCAAUCUCACCCGUACAGGAGGAUAGCCUCAGAAAUGAAGAUUAAUACUCCAUAAUGUAGAGAAAUGGCAUCAUUUUUUUACUAAAGAUUCAUCGGUACAAGAUGAGCAGGCGUCAUAUGAGCUAGAUGGUAAGGUAUCGGCUUGCCAUGGCAACGAUAGGUAGGGGGUAUGAGAGUGUUAUCCCCCACACUGGUAACGAGACCCGGACCAGAAUCGUACGGGACGCAGCAGAGAGGAAUACAGGUCAAUCGAGGCAACUGUCAACCAGCCAUCCCGCGGGCAGGAAGAUUGCCCCUAUGGGUUCUAAAUCGGCUCUGAGAGCAGGAAGAAAGCAGUUGUACCGUGUACGGCCUGACGNUACC